rnacentral:rRNA from 1 species
UACGAAGGGGGCUAGCGUUGCUCGGAAUUACUGGGCGUAAAGCGCACGUAGGCGGUCUUUUAAGUCGGUGGUGAAAUCCUGGAGCUCAACUCCAGAACUGCCUUCGAUACUGGAAGACUUGAGUCCGGGAGAGGUGAGUGGAACUGCGAGUGUAGAGGUGAAAUUCGUAGAUAUUCGCAAGAACACCAGUGGCGAAGGCGGCUCACUGGCCCGGUACUGGCGCUGAGGUGCGAAAGCGUGGGGAGCAAACAGG